GAUGAACGCUAGCUACAGGCUUAACACAUGCAAGUCGAGGGGUAGCAGGGUAGCAAUACCGCUGACGACCGGCGCACGGGUGAGUAACACGUACCCAACCUUCCCAUAACUCGGGGAUAGCCUUUCGAAAGAAAGAUUAAUACCGGAUGGUACUUUUUCAAGGCAUCUUGAGAAAGUUAAAGAUUUAUUGGUUAUGGAUGGGGAUGCGUUCCAUUAGAUAGUUGGUGAGGUAACGGCUCACCAAGUCUUCGAUGGAUAGGGGUUCUGAGAGGAAGGUCCCCCACAUUGGUACGGAGACACCGACCAAACUGCUACGGGAGGCAGCAGUGAGGAAUAUUGGUCAAUGGGCGAGAGCCUGAACCAGCCAAGUAGCGUGAAGGAUGAAGGUCCUAUGGAUUGUAAACUUCUUUUAUAGUAGAAUAAAGUGAUCCACGUGUGGAUUUUUGUAUGUAUACUAUGAAUAAGGAUCGGCUAACUCCGUGCCAGCAGCCGCCGCAG
rnacentral:rRNA from 1 species